CACGAGGCACGCGCCAGCGACUCGCCGCCGUUUGAGGAAGAGCUUGGGAUCAGGGCGACCCUCAAGCCGCACCAGGUGGAAGGGGUUUCCUGGCUAAUACGGAGGUACAAGCUCGGCGUCAACGUCGUCCUCGGUGAGACUGUAACCCUUUCAAUGUGUUUCGUUGCUCUUAAUGUGUUGGAAUGUGAAAGAAACUAUGGCUGUAUCCAUUUUUAUUUUGUUCCAUUUCCAAACAUUCUUUUGGGGAAAAAUAUAAAUUCAUUAUUCUUGUUGAGAUUGUAAGGUUUAAUCUCCAGUUUGAUGAGUUUGUCUGCAUUAAAAUUCUGAGAGUUUGAAAGAAAGUCUGGGUUAAUUUUGGUCCGGUCUGGCCUAAUUUGUGUGCAUACAUAAUAUUAUUACACACGUGAGCAGAUUUUCAAUUUGAUCCUAUAGUUAAACACUUAUUACAUUGAUUAUUGAAUUUCUUACAUAUUCUUCAUUUGAUCUCCUAUAGGCUUAUACAUGUUUUGGGCAUCCUUAUUCUGGUCUCUACAUGUAUGUUACAUUCUUAAUUUGAUCCCUAUGCAAGGAAAUAACAGUGGUAGGGGCCAAUCUAAUAAUACAUAGGGACUUAACUUUUACUUGUAGGGAUCAAAUUGAGAAUGUGACACUUAUACGGAUUAAAUUUUAUGUUAUAAUGUAUAAUCGUAAAAAAUAUGGAAAAUAACUAAAAAAUAUAAAAUUUAGUGUAAAGGUGUAUUUUUACCCCUUCAAAAUAUUGUAACAAGCAAGGCUAGCAAUAUAUUCUUUAAAAUAUAUUUUUGGAUGAAUUUUGUGUGGUCUCGUCCUUCUCUUUGUGGGAACUACAUGGACUUCAACUGACAGUAGAUAUUAUUGAAAAAAAAAUGUGCUGCCAACAUCUAGUAGGUAGUAACACAUGGCGUCAUGUUACUCUUACUUUUUUAAAUGCAUAAAAUUAGUCCUUUAAUGUCCAUUUAUAAUAUCUAAUUAGAUGGAAUAUUCUUUGAAUGGAUAAAACAAAUAUUUACUCUGAAAUUAUAGUUAUGGACUUUUUGUUUAUUCAUUAAUUUAAGAGUUUGAGUGAUAUCCAUAUGGUAUUCUCAGUGUUUGGUGAGGAGGAACUUUUCUCCGGGGAAUAUCAAUCAAACAUAUUGAUGUUUGGGUACAAUAAGCCAUGUUGUUGCUUAGUUGUUUCACAUUUCUUUGUAACAAUGGGGUGUCCUAGGGCAUGAGGUUCUGACUCGGUGGGUGGACAGGCAUAGUCUUAGCCUUGUAAGCCAGAGGCUGAUAUGAAGAUUUGAAACCUGUGACCAAGCUGCACAAGUCAGCAAUUGCGUCAAGUUUAACAUUUAAAUUUUUUAAUUCUUUGAAAAACUGAAGGCAAAAUAUCCAAUGUUGACAGAUGAUGUGGUUUUAUUUUUGUUAUUCUGUUUUGAAGAUUUUAGACCUAGCGGAUUUGAUAGUAUUUAUGAAGCAACAAUUUUUUAUUAGGUUAUGACUAGAAUUUUUCUAUUAUUUGCAGGGGAUGAGGUACACUCUCUUCAAUUCUGUUUCAGAGCUUGUGUAAACUGAAAGGACAAAUUUUGUAAUCUAAUUGGUAUUAUAGUCAUGAAAUUCAUCUUUUAAACUUGUUACUAUUAUGUUGGUUUAUUUUGGCAAGUGGACCAAUUUAAUUGAAGUUGACAGUUAGGAUUAGGGUUUUCGAAGCUCAUGUACAUGGCAAAUAUCUAUCUUUGGCAAAAGUUUAACUCUUGUCAAUUGUAUUUACAAUAAAAAACUGACUUGAAUCCAUUUCUUUGAAUUGAAAUUUACAAUGGUUCAAAAAUUCAACUUUGAAUCCUAGUGUUCCACAUAGCCUAUCUUAGUCAAGUUCUUUGGGACUAUUAUGCCACCAUUAUCAGACACUUGUUAGACGAUCCAUGAAUAUCUAAUCCCACACUCGAGAUGUUCAUUCCUCGACGUAAGGGGUGAUGUUGGAGAUCCCAUAUUGACUAAGAAUAAAACCAUAUUGUAAUAUAUAAGUGAGGUGCAAUUCUCACUUUACAAGCCAGUUUGGGGAGGUUGAGUUGAGUUAGGCAUAAACAUACUUAUUAAGAUGCAUAACUACAUGUCAAAACCGUGUUGCUCACUAUGUAUUUUAUGAAUUUUUUUUAUUUUAUCCUUGCUAUAAUUUUAUCUUGCUAUUAGUACUAGGAUUAUGUAUUUAAAAACAAUCCCAAGAAUUAGCCUUCCUAAAUAACAAGCAGACUCAUGUAUUUAUAGGUCUGAUAGCCUCAUUAUUGAAAUAUAGAAGAAAUAUAUUAUUCUUUCUAAAUCUGAGAUAGUAUUAGAGCCAUUCCUAAGUCAAAUUCUUUGGGAUUAUGCCACUGCUAUAGGGCUCUUGUUAGACCACCCAUAAAUAUGUAAUCCCAUGCUUGAGAUGGUCAUUGCUCAGCGUGAGGGUGUGUUGGAGAUCCCACAUUAUCUUGGUGUAAGUCCAGAUGAUAAUAUAUAAUUGGGGUGCAAUCCUAACCUUACAAGAUGGUUUUGUGAGGCAUAAACCCACUUACUAAGAUAGUAUCAGAGCUUCUGUUCUUUGGGAGUCUCUAAUCGUGUUUAUCAACCCUAAAACAUAACCUUCAUUGCUGUGCCACCUUGAAGCAGGUUACAUACUUCAUUGAUGUGCCUCUUUGAUACCUAUUGUAGCCUUUAUUGCUCCAUAUUCUUCUUAUAUGGAUGAGCUCGUGAAUUCUGAAAUGGAAACUGAGGACAAAUCGCAGACUGCUUGAGAAUUACAUAAUGUCCAUUUUGCUUACAGAUUCAAUGGAAAAAAUUGUCUAAAAUGGUUUUAACUCAUUAAGACCAUCUUAAAAGGAAAUGGUACACUUGACUUAUCAUGCACCUGAUGAAAAUGAUGUCAAGUUCAAAUCCUUGGAUGAAGAAGAUUCCAUGAUCAUGGAAUGGAUGUGGAAUUCAAUGGUUCUAGAAAUCAGUGAUACUUGCAUAUUCCUUAGAUCAACAAAAGAAAUUUGGGAGGCAAUAGAACAAACCUAUUCUAAGGCCAAGGAUGCUGCCCAAAUUUAUGAUGUAAAGGUGAAAAUUGUGGGAGCCAAACAGGGAAGCAAUGCCAAUGAAAUUAAGUCCCUAUGGAUGAAAUUGGAUCACUAUAGAGUUAUGUUAUAAAAGCAAAGUAUUCAGAAGACUCAACAAUCUUGAAAGAGUAUAUUGAACAAGAUAGAGUCUAUGAUUUUUUGGUAGGCUUGAAUCCUAAAUAUUAGUGUUUGAGUCCAAAUUUAGGAAUAAGAGAAGUUUCAAGGAAUGAAUGAAAUCUGCACUUAAAUUACAAAAUAAUUCUCCUGAUUAUGCAAUACUCCCCCUCAACUGAAGUUGGUGAAUGUAUAUCUAUCAUUCCCAACUUGCAAGUAAGAUCUUUAAAUUGUUUUGUGGGAAGUCCCUUAGUAAACAUAUUUGCCAAUUGGAGUCUUGAAGGGAUAUACUUGGUGGCUAUAAGAUCAUUAUCCAGCUUCUCAUUAAUGAAAUGUCAGUCUAUCUCUACGUGCUUGGUUUGGUCAUGUUGAACUGGAUUGUGUGCAAUACUGAUGGCGGACUUAUUAUGACACUCCAAACCCAUAGGAGCUUCAUAUUUUAUUUUGAGAUAAUCGAGUAUGAUCUUCAUCCAUAAUAGUUCACAAACCCCUUGAGCCAUGACUCUAAAUUUUGCUUUUGCACUUGAUCUUGCAACUACAUGUUGUUUCUUGCUCCUCCAUGUCACCAGAUUUCCACCCAGGAUGCUAUAAGACCAUUAUCCAGCUUCUCCUUAAUGAAAUGUCGGUCUAUCUCUACGUGCUUUGUUCGGUCAUGUUGAACUGGAUUGUGUGCAAUACUGAUGGCGGACUUAUUAUAACACUCCAAACCCAUAGGAGCUUCAUAUUUUAUUUUGAGAUAAUCGAGUAUGAUCUUCAUCCAUAAUAGUUCACAAACCCCUUGAGCCAUGGCUCUAAAUUCUGCUUCUGCACUUGAUCUUGUAACUACAUUUUGUUUCUUGCUCCUCCAUGUCACCAGAUUUCCACCCAGGAACAUGCAAUAGCAUGUGGUGGAUCUCCUAUCUACAAUUGAUCCUGCAUAUUCAGCAUCAGUAUAUAUUUUCAUGGAUAAGUUUUCGCCUUUUUAGAAUAGCAAUCCUUUCCUUGAAGAGGCUUUUAAGUACUGAAUAAUUCUAUUUACUACUUGCAAGUGUCUUUCUCUUGGAUCAUGCAUGAAUUGGCUAACCACUCUAACUGCAUAAGCUAUGUCUGGCCUAGUGUGUGAUAGAUAAAUGAGUAGAGUGAGUUUACCAUUAUGAGAAUGUUUUAUAAAUCGAGUAUGGUCACCUGGGCUUUGUUGGUACCCCAAAGAUACCACAACUUGAGUAAACCUUCCAAACCAAACACGAGGUGAUUAUUAUCUCCCUGGCAGCACACUUUGGUUGGGCGAUGCAUCAAUUUGAUGUUAUUGUUUAAGACCAUAUAGGGCCUUCUUAAGUCUGCACACCUUAUUCCCUUCAUUAACAACACCAUAACCAGGUGAAUCUCCAUGUAUACAUUUUCCUCCAAGCUUCCAUGCAAGAAGGCAUUUUUAACAUCAAAUUGAUGCAUCGCCCAACCAAAGUGUGCUGCCAGGGAGAUAAUAAUCCUGACUGUAUUCAUUUUUGCCAACUGAGCAAAAGUUUCCUCAUAAUCGAUCCCAUAGGUUUGAGUAUACUCUUUUGCAACCAACCUUGCUUUAUACCGAUCUAGUGUGUCAUCAGACUUAUACUAAACUGUGUAUAUCCACCUACAACCCACUUAUUUCUUAUCUUUUGGUCUCUCUACAGUCUCCCAAGUCUUAUUCAUUUCUAAUGCGCUCAUUUCUUCAUUCAUGGCUCGAAUCCAGUUCUUAUCUUUUAAGGCUUCUUGGAAUGAUGUAGGGAUUCUGAUAGAAUCAAUAGUCCAAAGAAAACUCCGGUGCUUCCAGUGUUAUCACUUAUCGGCCAUGGCAGAUUUCGGUGGCGGUUUUCCUGACCAUCGCCACAACAAGGUGGUGGUGAAUCGGAUUUUGCAUGGCGGCCCAUGGCGGCCGCUAUGACCAUGUCGGAGUUCUAACGGAUAUUAGAAAUAUCCAAAAUAUCGAAAAAAAGGUGACAACGCCAGCAGCGGAGCAUGAAGAAGAGCUGCGACGGCAACUGAGCAUGAAAAAGAGCUGCGGCGGCUGCGGGGAGCAUGAAGAACAAGAGCUGCUGCAGAUGAAGUAGACCUAAACCUAAACCUAGUUUUUAGGAAACAAAAGUUUGGGCCUUGACCCAUUUCAGUUUAAAAAAACCCUAAAAUUUAAAUAAAAAACCCUAAAAUUUAAAUAAAAACCCUAAAAUUUUAAUACUAAGUGUGCCGUGUGAGUGGUGUGCGGCUGGAAACCUUGGAAACCCUAAUUUAACCAUGAAAGCUGACUUUACUUUAGGGUUUUGGGCCUAUUUUGGGCCCAUGUAAAACUUAUAUAAUUAUUCUCAACAGUAAUUUUAUCUAUGCACAACCACUAUUACUUAUUAUUUCUCCCUGCCACCAACAGUUAUUUAUAUAUAUAAAUAUUAUAUUUCUUUCCAUCGCCAUGCUUCCGCCAUAACCCGUUAUGAUUUCCGUUAUAACUUUAUAAAGGGUUUUUGGGGUCUCCGAUAUGAUCCGUUAUCCGAUAUUGAUAACACUGGGUGGUGCAUAGAAAGUUUUUUGUAGACACAAGUUGACAUAUAGGAUAUUUGGCACAAGAUCUUUUUUCUUUUCUCAAGGCAAUAGGUAAAUCAUUUAGGUUAGAUUCAAAAGCAGUAUUUCAGGUGUCCUCAAGAGUCUCACAAGUAUGAGUUCUUACCUCCGGUUCAGACAAUUGAAGUUGUUGUUCGACCAAGACGGGUUGUUGUUGCCUUCACUGAUAUUGUUUUCCAAAAUAUUUGUCCUCAUUAUUCUUCUCUAGUAAUGAUGUUAGUGCAUGGUCUUUGUCAUCCUCCCUAAGAAUGAAAUCCAGCAACAAAGGAAAAGGUGUCAACUCAAGAUUCUCAGCUUCUUGAAUACUCCCCACUGAAGCUUAGAAGUACGAAAGAAAGACUCUGUUUCAUGAAAGGUGACAUCCUUGGAAACAUAGACUUUACGACUUUGAGGGUGAUAACAUUUGUACCCGUUUUGGUUGGGGGCAUAACCGAUGAAGACAUUUGAUGGUGCGAGGAUCUAACUUACCCCGAUAAGGACUAUGAACACGGACAAAAGCAGGACAAGCAAAGACACGAAUAUGAAGACUAGUCAACAUGGGAAUAGAAGGAUAGAAUGUGGUCAUAAGCUGAAUAGGAAUAACACCCUGUAGAACCCGAGAGGGUAAUCUAUUAAUCAAAUAAGUGGCAGUCAAGACUGCUUCCCCCUAAUAAGAUCUAGGAACAGAUGUUUGGAAAAGUAAAACUCUAGUAACCUUAAGGAGAUGACGAUUUUUCCUUUUAGCAACCCCGUUUUGUUGAGGAGUGUCCACACAGGUUAAUUCAUGAACAACUCCAUUUUCCUGAAGGAACUUGGAAAAGUUUUGGUUCACAUAUUCUCUUCCAUUAUCAGAAUGCAAUCUCUUAAUUGGAUUUUCAAAUUGUGUUUGAAUUAUUCUGUAAAACUUUACAAACAUGUGAAAAACUUCAGAAUUAUUUUUCACGAGGAAUAUCCAGGUAACCCGAGUACAAUCAUCAAUAAAUGAAACAAACCAUUUUGCACCCCAUACAUGUGAAUGAAUAAGAUCAAAAGGUUUAGAACUUCUAUUACCAUUGGGAAGAAAAGUUGUCCGAUGGUGUUUAGCAAACUGACAAAGAUCACAAUGAAAAGACUCAACAGACACUUUUGUAAAUAAAACAAGAAAUAAGCACUUUAGGUUACUAAAUGGAGGAUGACCAAGACGUCUGUGUUGAAGCCAUAUCUGAGAGGAUGGCCAAGAUUCACGGCCUUGCUGAAGAUUAGAAGUGUGUGCCUGUAGUCUAGCACACUUUUUAUUUUCUUCAUGCUGUAAAUAAUAUAAUCCGCCCUGCUCUUUAGCAAUUCCAAUAGUCUUCCCUAUGGCAAGAUCCUGAAAAACACAAUGGGAAUGAAAAAAUACCACUGCACAAUUUAAAUCUUGGGUAACCUUUUGAAUAGACAAGAGGUUAUUGGAUAGUUUGGGAACAUGAAGCACAUUUUUAAAGGAAAUGAAGGUUGAAGGUGAAUGUUAGCACAACCAAUAACGAGGGUAUUGGAACCAUUAGCAAUAGUAAUAUAUUGGUUACCAGAUAAAGCAGUGUAGGAUGAAAAAUAAAGGAAUGAGGUGUCAUAUGAUCAGUAGCACCAGAGUCUAUAAUCUAGAUAUUUUCUGUACUAGAAGCAUUAAAGGAUGAGAAACUAGAACUCUUACCACUCAUAGUAAAGGAACAAUAGCUAGAUGUCUUACUAAGGGAGUCCAUGAGAGUUCAAAACCAACUGAGCUUUGCAGAUUGGCAAAAUUUUAUCCUAAUCACAAAAAAAAUUCGCUGGAAAUUUUUUCCGGCGGCGGUUUCCGGUGAUCGGCGGUCGGUGGUGGCGGUCGGCAUUGGUGGUCGGCGGUCGGUGGUGGCUGUUGGCGUUGGUGGUCGGCGGUUGGUGGUGGCUGUCGGCGUUGGUGCUCGGCGACGAUCAAUGGCGGUGGCAGUAACGAUCAAUGGUGCAAGGUGGUGGUCAAUGGAGAAAAGAUAAGGAAAAAACAGUUGUAGCAAUUAUGGCUGCCCAAAAAAAUAAUUGCAGCAAUGAAGGCUGCCCAGAAAAAUAAUUGCAGCAAUGAAGGUUGCUAAAAAAAGAUUAUAGAAGCAGAGUCUCCCAGAUUAGGAGCUCUGAUACCAAGUUGAAAGAAAUAGAUGAAAUAUAUUUUUGAGAUGAUUUACAAAUGUGAUUACCGUCUCAAUUUAUAGAGUGUUUACAACCUAAUUAAAGAAAGAAAUAAUAGGUAAUGAAAGCAAGAAAUAAUGGGUGAUUAAAGCUUUACAAAUAAAAUGAAAUCAAAUCACUAACAAAUCUGUCCUAAUAAGUAGAGAAUGAAAUCUGCACUUAAUUACAUAAUAAUUCUCUUGAUUAUGCAACACAUUCUCUUGCAUGUCCAAUCGUCCUUUUGAGCUCUUGUCAUGUAAAAUACAAAAGUUGCUAUAAAAAAGAACAGUACAUGAAAGAUCUUUGAGUUUUUGUACCUAAAUCAUAUUAGGGGACAAUCUAGGGACAUGAAGGACAAUUUUUAAGGUUAUGGAUUGACUUAUUUGUACCUCUCCUUGUCCUCCUCCUAUGAGAUUUCCAUCUAUUGUGGAAAUUUUCUUGCUGCUAGGAUAUGGAGAAUAUGUGGAGAAGUAUUUGGGGUGGUGGGUUCAUAUGGUUAGUGGCUCCAGAGUUUAGUAUCCAAUAGUGAGAAAAAGGUGUAUCUGAAGUAUUAAGACAAAAAAUAAAAUAAAAUGGAAACUUACUAGAAUGUAAGCGAGAAUGUACUGUGGACUGGACAUUCUGCAAUUCUCCAACAGUUUGGAAUCCGUCCUUAGUUUCCAUUCCAGAAAUCACAAUGUCAUCCAUAUAUAGGUGGAUUAUGCAUCAAUAAAGGUUGGAAUAGUGAUCAGAGUGGCGCAUCAAAGAAAGCUAGAAUAUGUUCUUGGGGGUAAACAAUGAAGGAUGCGAUUUAGGGAUGUAGACAAGGUCAGAGCCUCCCAAAGAUAGGAGCUCUAAUACCAUCUCAAAUUAGAACAAAUAGUAUAUUUGUUUUGUAUUUCAAUAAUGAGGCCAUUGGAUCAGUAAAUACACGAGCAUGUUGGUUUUAGGAAAUAUAGAUAGCUAAUUCUAAGGAAACAAACACUUGUAAACGUGGGAUCGUUUUUAAAUACAUAAUCCUAGUAUUAAUAGGAAGAUACACCUGCAAUAAAGAAUUAAAUUAUAACAAGGAUAAAAUACAAAACUUCCUAAGGAUUUGACUAGCAUGGACAACAUGAAGUUAUUGAGGAAGCUUAGCCAUUUGCUUUCUUAAGGAUUCACCUUGUUAUCAUAGAAUCUUGUUCUGUGCUAGAAUGACAUCUUGAGUGCUGGAUCAAGCAAACCUUUCUUUUGAUCAAAUUGUUUGUUGUGUCCAUUUUGAUAAUUUGUAGAAGCAAAAGCGUAUUCAUCAUAGUUUUGCCAGUUGUUGCAUCUACUAUAUUUUUGUUUGAGGUUUCAAUCCAUGAUUUGAGCUACAUCUUCAAAGCCAUGACUUGGGCAUUUUCCGAGUAAUGUUUUAAACUACUCCCAUGUCUCACGUAAUGGUUUAUUUUCUCCUUGCUUGAAAGUAGAAAUUUCAGAUUUAGCACUUAUGUACCUGGAUGGUGGGACAAAUUGAUUCCAAAAUUUCUCUUCUACAACACUCUAGCAGGUGAAACGUUGAUUUAGAUGAGAUUGUAGCCAAGACCGAGCUUUCCUUGCUAGAGAUAAUGAAAGAGCAAAGAUAAAAAAAUUCAUCUCCUUCUGGAAUACCCAUAGUGCCACACAAUUCAAAGAAUGUAGACAAAUGAGUGUAGGAGUCUUCAUGAUCCAUUCCUAUGAAUUGAUGUGUGGAUAUCAAACUUAAGAAAGUUGGCUUCACCUCCAUUGCCUUGGUUGUGGGUGGAGCUAGUAUACUGGAAAAUUAUCUAGGCCCUUUUUUCAUAGCAUAGUACCCUAGAGUCCUUUUGGGUUGAUUUGGUUGACCUUGAUGUGGAUCCAUUUCAGCUAUGGUAUUAGAAAAUAUGGGUUGAUGGUGAGAAGAUUGAUCUUGCUGCUCUUUCUAUUGUGCUUCUCUUUCUUCCUUUUUUUCCUGGCUGUUUUUUAAUCUUUAGAUCAAAUUGUAAUUAAUAUGUAGGUGGCUCAAUUGCAUACGUGACUCACAAAAGCAAACAGAUUAGUCGAAAAUAUGAAAAAAGAAUACAACUACAUAUAAACAAAAAGGUCACUAGUUAUAGGUUGAACUUAUGAAGAAAAUAGUUUAGGACACAAGUCGCGGACAAUGGCACUAGAAAACUUAUUGGUUUAUUUUGGCAAGUGCACCAAUUUAACUGAAGUUGACAAUAAGGGUUAAGGUUGUCGAACCACAUGGACUUGGCAAUGUAUCUAUCUUUAUCACAAGUUUAAUUCUUGUCAAUUAUAUUUAUAAUAGGAAAUUCAUUUUAUUCCAUUUGUGUGAAUUGAAAUUUACAAUGGUUCAAAUAUUCAAGUUAAAGGUUGUUUGAAUGACAUUUAAAAUUUAGUAGAUAGAAAGCGGUGAUUGGACUUUAUUCACCUCAUCCAUAUUCCAGUCAUCAAUAUCAAUAUACAACAUUUUUCCAUUGAUAUAAGUGCACAUUCUAAAAUUUCUUUAAUUGAUUUCUCAAAUAUAAUUAGUCUAAGAAUGAUUUUUGAAUUUUGAUUCCUCGAACAUACAACAAACAUUCGAGCAUUUACGAUUGAAUGUUAGACUAUAUUGAAAUCUAUUCCUAGUUUUUGAAUGUUUCAACAAAUCUCAUUGAUUUUAGAGUUUAAGAACUGCUUUAUAACCUGAACUUAGAUUUUAAAUCUUAAAACUAUGAAUAAGAUAAAUUUAAGCAUUAAACACAAUGAAAUGAACAAUAUAUAUAAAAUGGAAAUGAACAAUAUAUAUAAUAUGGAAAUGAACAAUUUGAUAUAUUAUAUAUAUAUAUAUAUAUAUCACUAGAAUAUUUCAAAGAUGAAGAUUACAUCCAAUCCUAAACGGGGAGGUCUAACUGCUCAUGGCACAAUUACAAAUUAGAAAAUCUAAGGGAACCUAAGAAGGGAGCAGUUCCUUACACAAAUCCAAGCUUUCCUUUCUCUAUCCUCAGAUCCUUUCCCCUCUCUACCUUUCAUUCUAUAGUCAUUCAACGGUAUGUGUUGGAAUCCCGCAUCGACUAGAGAUAAGGACAUUUCAUAGUAUACAAGUGAAUGCAAAUUUCAUCUUAUAAGUCAGUUUUAUAAGGUUGAGUUGGGUUUAAAGUAUACUUCUUAAGAGUAUGUUUGCAAAUUAAUGAAUUUUCGCUGAAGUGAGAUAGGUACUGUAAGAUGAAAAAGGUAUUUUGCUUAAGUGAGAAUGUUUUACUCAGGUAAAAGUAAUGCAAAAACAACACUUCUUUUUUAGCCAAUUUUGCUCAAGCGAGAAAGUGUUGCUCAAGGGAAAAUUGUUUUGCACCAAUGCUUUCUUAGUGGAGACCCUCUCAAGCAAGAUUAGGGAUGCUUUUCCUUCAUGGUUGCUUGAAUUAUCUUCUUUGACUUACUUUGUUUUCCCACUUGUUUUAAUCAUGUUAAAUUUCCAUUGGUAUGUUUAAUAUUUCUGUCGUUUCUGGAGCCAAAUCCUGCAUAAAGAUUUGCACAAAAUUUUGUUUUAAGUCGGGAUUAAUUAUACUAGAACUUUAAAACAUAUAAUAAGUAGGUGUCCUCUUAAGGUUCUGUGUUUGUAAUGAAUUUUGGCACUUAUCAGUUACUUUGACAAUUUUUUCUGCAUUAUUGUCAUUUUGUUAUGUUAACUCAGCAUAUUUUACCCGGCAAAAGGGCUGGCUGUUUAAUGUUUAUCAGAUAUCCUUUGCUUCUUGAUAUUGUUGUUUUACUUGCUUAAGAGUUUCAGUAUUUUUAAUGAACUAAUAGUGGUGAAUUUAGUCAUGUCAUGUAAACAUGUAUAUUUUUUUGUUGCUUCCUAGCUGCAUGAUUAUUUAUCAUUGUUGUUUGAUAUCUUGUUUGUUCACAUACAAAGGCUGUAUUAUCAUAAAAAUUGUUAACUUGUGCAUGCUUUUGAAUUUUGCUUCAGUCUUGUUUUCCCCUAAUUCACCAAAUGUAAAGCUGAAUACAAGGUUUACCAUAUUCUCAUUCAAAUACAAAAUCACCGUGCAAUUCUAUUUUUGUUUAUUUUGAUGUUUGUUAUGGAUAUGGACAGAUGGGACUGGGGAAGACUUUGCAAGCUAUCUCCUUUUUAAGCUAUUUAAAAGUGUGCCGGUUGUCUGAUGGGCCAUUUU
rnacentral:lncRNA from 1 species